GUGGGGAAUAUUGCACAAUGGGGGAAACCCUGAUGCAGCGACGCCGCGUGAGUGAAGAAGUAUUUCGGUAUGUAAAGCUCUAUCAGCAGGGAAGAAAAUGACGGUACCUGACUAAGAAGCCCCGGCUAACUACGUGCCAGCAGCCGCGGUAAUACGUAGGGGGCAAGCGUUAUCCGGAUUUACUGGGUGUAAAGGGAGCGUAGACGGCAUGGCAAGUCUGAAGUGAAAUGCGGGGGCUCAACCCCUGAACUGCUUUGGAAACUGUCAGGCUGGAGUGCAGGAGAGGUAAGUGGAAUUCCUAGUGUAGCGGUGAAAUGCGUAGAUAUUAGGAGGAACACCAGUGGCGAAGGCGGCUUACUGGACUGUAACUGACGUUGAGGCUCGAAAGCGUGGGGAGCAAACAGGAUUAGAAACCCGAGUAGUCC
rnacentral:rRNA from 1 species